rnacentral:tRNA from 2 species
GGCCGGAUGUCGAAGAGGAAACGAAGGAGUCUGCAAAACUCCCAUGCGCGGGUUCGAUUCCCGCUCCGGCCUCCU